CGGUAAUUCCAGCUCCACUAGUAUAAAUCGUCAUUGCUGCGGUUAAAAAGCUCGUAGUUGGAUUUGAGGCACGUACAGCGGUUCGGCUCUGCCGUUAAUCACUGUUGUGUCUAAUUUGUUGGUUUUCUGUUGGUAACUUCGGUUCCUUCAGUGGCUAGCAAGUUUACCUUGAUCAAAUCAAAGCGCUCAAAGCAGGCGAUUGCUUGCAUUUGGGAUCAUGGAAUAAUAAAAUAGGAUUUCGAUUCUAUUUAUUGGUUUAGAAUUGAAUUAAUGAUUAAGAGAGACAAUUCGGGGGCAUUCGUAUCCCUGCGCGAGAGGUGAAAUUCGUGGACCGCAGGGGGACGUCCAAAAGCGAAAGCAUUUGCCAAGAAUGCUUCAUUAAUCAAGAACGAAAGUCAGAAGGUUCGAAGGCGAUUAAGAUACCGCCCUAGUUCUGACCGUAAACUACGCCAUCUAGCGAUCCCGAUAGGGUAUUCAUGCCUUGUCGGGGAGCUUCCCGGAAACGAAAGUUUUUCGGUUCCGGGGGUAAUAUGGUUGCAAAGCUGAAACUUAAAGAAAUUUGACGGAAGGGCACCCACCAGGAAUUGGAGCCUGCGGCUUAAUUUGACUCACACCGGGAAACUCACCCGGGCCCGGACACCAGUAAGGAUUGACAGAAUGGAAGCUCUUUCUCGAUUUGGUGGGUGGUGGUGCAUGGCCCGUCCUAGUUGGUGGAACCGAUUU
rnacentral:rRNA from 1 species